rnacentral:lncRNA from 1 species
CUGCGUUUAAUUUAGCCUUUGAAGCCUCUGAGGCAGAACCAGUGUGUUGGACUAAUAGGAGUCAUUACUCGCUUUGGUUAUGACAGGCAAAAAUUCUGAUGCUCCGAUACAAAUCUGUAGUUUUAAAGGAAGAUCAAAGACACACACCGAUUUCCCAGACACACACACACACACACACACACACCCUACAAUCCUUUUGAUGCUCCGAGCCAAAGAGGCCCCACAUAGGAAAAACAUUAGAAGGGGCCUAAACAGGCAGUGAUGCAAUCUGCUCGACACAUCGUUCAAUAGGUGCGAUAGGAGAAGCUCAGCGAGUGCCGGCCUCUGCUCCGGCUCGGCGCCGGCGCCGCGUCCCGCUCUGCCAGCGCUGCCGAUGAGGGUGCAGUGAACAUUAAAGCACUGCUUUGAACAAAAAGAUUGGAUAUGAAAAGGAAUGCGAUAUUAGGCCCCACGACGCGACGAGGGAGAGGCGGCGCUCCCUCCUGAAGCUGUCGCGUAAUUAGAUAAAGGUAGAGGUUCUGCGUCUCCUGAGAACUGGCUGCGACCCGCGGGUCAGCCCACAGACACAUCAGCAACGGGGCACCUGAACGCCAAAGUGACAUCACCUCGCAACAAUAAGGGACGGGAAGUUCUGCACCAGGAUCAUUUCACCAUAAAAAGGCAAAAAGGGGUUUCAGGACAUUGAGUCUGAAACUGACUGCAGCCGUUUGCUGCUCGCUGGAGUCGUGAGUGCUGUUCAGCAGCGGCGUUAAGCCGUCCGUGCCUUGGAUUUGUUUUUGAAUUAACCACCGAUAGCAAUAAAAUAAAAUGGGAAUUUAUCCAUCAAAGCAGCGUGGAGAGGAAUAUUUGGUUAAAAUUUCCUUAACAUGUUUAAUCUCUCGCAUCUCGCCUGAAAGCCAUUGAUGUGAUGCUCAAUGAAACACGUUUCUAGCAGAAACUCAAACCAUAAAUGUUCUCUGCCUGCAGUUAGACGCCCUGUGCAGUUCAAUCAAUCCCGGAGCCUGACGCCGCUGAAUGAGCAUAGGCUCCGUGUCGGUGUUGUUCAGCCACGUCAUCCUUCCACGCAUGGAAAUGCCACUUACAGCUACCAGUUAAUUCAACACAGCGUGGAGAAUUAAGACGUCUUCACUGGGCCCUAAAUAACGAGAGCCAAACAGCACUUUGUGUAAUCGCUGGAGUGAUCUCAUUAAUCUCAUCACCCAGUUUUUAUGAUUUCCAGCCGACACUUGUCACAUUUAACAUUAAUCAGGAAAAUGAACCGUGUCUUCGUCUGUCUGUGUUCCAGGCGUGUGACCUGGUCAGCAGAUUACAGCAAAGUCCAUUCUGCUGCUAAUGAGAUGUGAG